CUCCCCAACGCGGUCACCGCCAUGGCCCCUCCCGUCGCGUCAUCCUCGAGGUGCAGGACGACGGGGAGAAGAAGCAGGUCCCCGUCAACCUGCCCGCGACCGGCGUCUUCGCCCCGCCCAACCCCUUCGGCGCUCUCCCCUCGGACGUGUGCGGGGACGACGAAUUUUGUUCUCCGUCUAUAUAUGCAGCGAGUCUGUACUUUCCCGCAAACCUCAUAUUCGAAGCAUUUCUAUGCCCGGGGCGAUUUUAACAACUUAUGUUCAUACUAAACUUUUACACAUGUAUUAAAUAAGUGUACCAUUUUAUAGUUGUAAUUAAUAUAUUUUUAUAUUACUGAGUCACAUAAGAAAGUUUCUAACUAAUAGUUAUAUUAUUCAUUAAUAUACAAUCAUAAUUUAUAUUAAUGAAAAUUUUCAGUUUAAAAAUACAAAAAUUAUGAUGUACCAAAAUUUUCUUUAUUGUUAAAAGAAAUAUUCAAAUUUAUUUCGUAAUAUUGCAUAAACGAUGUAGUGUAUA
rnacentral:lncRNA from 1 species